rnacentral:rRNA from 1 species
CAGCCGCCGCGGGAAUACGGAGGGUGCAAGCGUUGUCCGGAUUUAUUGGGUUUAAAGGGUGCGUAGGCGGCCUAAUAAGUCAGUGGUGAAAGCCUCCAGCUUAACUGGAGAACUGCCAUUGAUACUGUUAGGCUUGAGUAUACUUGAGGUAGGCGGAAUUGACAGUGUAGCGGUGAAAUGCAUAGAUAUUGUCAAGAACACCAAUUGCGAAGGCAGCUUACUAAAUUAUAACUGACGCUGAGGCACGAAAGUGUGGGUAUCAAACAGGAUUAGAUACCCCCGUAGUCCCUGUCUCUUAUAC